ACGGGUGAGUAACGCGUGAGUAACCUGCCUUCAANAGGGGGAUAACAUUCUGAAAAGAAUGCUAAUACCGCAUGACAUAUCGGAACCACAUGGUUUUGAUAUCAAAGAUUUUAUCGCUUGAAGAUGGACUCGCGUCCGAUUAGUUAGUUGGUGAGGUAACGGCUCACCAAGACCGCGAUCGGUAGCCGGACUGAGAGGUUGAACGGCCACAUUGGGACUGAGACACGGCCCAGACUCCUACGGGAGGCAGCAUG
rnacentral:rRNA from 1 species